GUUUUAAUAAUUUAAAUAAAAUAAUAGUCUUGUAAACUAUCAAUAAGACCAUCUUUUAAAACA
rnacentral:tRNA from 1 species